rnacentral:misc_RNA from 1 species
AACCAUAGAAACCUGCGGAGUACCUGCGGAGGGAUCAUUAAAAAAAUGAUGAAUGUCGGAGGGCGUUCAAAGUUUCUUACCUGUCGCUCUCCGUGUAUUCAACCAACCCGCUCUUGCAUUUGGAUCAACCAAUAAUAAACAAAAAUACUUAUUAUAAUAAAAAUAAACUUUCAACAACGGAUCU